AGCAGGCGUGGGCCGCCCUGGUGCUGACGGUCUGGUUUGCCUCCCAGCUCUGCUAGCCGGGCUUUAGUAGUGCGCUUUCUCGCGGCUGUCAUAAGUACCACGCUGUUGACUGGGACACCGAUCUCCAAUUCUGUCCUUGAGGCAAUAAAGAUGUGGCGAAGGCCCGAGGUGAGGCCACUGCCACUGCACUUAGUCCUGCGACUCCCCUAAGGACGGGCCGAGGAAUGGCGGGCUAGCCACUUCCCAGUCCUGUCCCUACGGGGCAGAAAAAGGCUCGGCAUCCCGGGAUCCGGAGGGUCACUUCCCUCGCUGCAUCCCCAUUGUGCAACUGCCAGUCUAAAAAUUGAUAUAGGUAAGCUUAUGAAUGCUAAAACUAAUGAAUGCAAGAUGCUAAAACAAACAAUUAACUGAAAGGUUGUAGGGAAGAGGAUGUUAGUAUCUCAAAGAAUCACCCUACAGAUCAUUUCUUAUUAUAAAGGGAAAAUAGAAUUUUACACUGAAGAGAUUUAUUAGACAUACCUUAACCAAGUGAAGAUACUUAGCAUCGCUAAUAUCACCCGAUAGUAUUUGUGCUAGAAAUGUUUGACAUUAAUCAUGAGGAAACAAUCAGAAAAAAACAAUGUAGAAUAUUCUACAAGACAACAGGCCUAGGCUCUUCAAAAAUGUCAGUGUCAUGACAGGAAAAAGAAAAAAACGAAGUGGAAAAUUACUUUAGUCGAGAGUCAAAAGAAACCAAAUGAAAUUUGUGAAUCUUGGCUGGUUCAUAGUUUUUAAAAAAAAAAAAAAACUUCGAAAGACAUUUGUGGACAACUGGGGAAAUUUAAAUAUGAACUACAUAUUAGAUGAUAUUGAAUCAGUUUUAAAUUGAUUGCAUGUGAGAAUUAAUUUGUGAUUAAGUGGAAGAAUGCCUUUGUUUUUGGAAGGCGCUUGCUAAAGUAAUUAGCAGCAAAGUGUCACAGUGUUUGCGGCUUACCUUCAAAAGAUAUGGCAAAAAAAUAGAGAAAGCAAAUGUGGCAAAAUAUUAGUAAUUGGUGAAUCUAGUUGAAGGGUAUAAUGGUGUACAUCGUACCAGUCUUGCAACUUUCUAAAAUAACAGAUUUUAUAAAAUAAAAAGAGGAGGGGGGAAAAGGAAUAGAAUUCUGAUCUUUACCAUGGCCUCCCAGGUCCUGCACAAUCAAGUGUCAGCCGACCUCACUCCCCACUAACUGUACAGUAAGUUGAUCUGCUCUGGAUACCUCAAACACCAACUUCUUUCCAGCAUGUAUGAACCUUUGCAUGGGUUGUUCCCUGUACCUAAAUUCUCUCUUCUCCAUUCAACACGUGGCACUUCCCUUCAUCAUUUAGGUUACGUCUAAAAUAGUACCUUCUUAAAGAAGACUUUCCUGGCUACUGUAUCUCAAGUGAGCACUCUUUUUUUAUUUGCAGGUUCAAUUUCAUUUUUAUACUUUUUACAACUAGCAAUUGUUGUUGUUCCCCCACCCUGUAAAAUCUAAGUUCUGUGAGUAGAAUAACUGUGUUUUGUUUGGUCGCUAAUGUAUCCUCAAUGACUCUCUAACACAAGACAAGCAAAUCAAUAUUUGUUGAACAAUGAAUGAAAGCUGAUGUGGCUGGGUAGAGACCAUGGGGAGGAGUCAGGGGAGUGAAUCUGUAGGCAUGGGCCAAGGCCAGACCCUGUAAGCCUUAGCCAAGUUACUGACUUGAGUAUUACGAAAUGCUUACUGGAUAACCAGUUUUAAGCAUGGGCAUGGUGCAAUCCAAUGUGCAUCUAUCUUUUGAAAAGGUUAAUCUCCUGGAGAAACUAGAGGCAGCCAGGGAGGAUGCUGUUGAACCAGUUAGGAGGCUGUUGCAAGAGAUCCCAGGAAAAGAUAAUGAUAAUGUGGACUUGGAAGAUGGCAGAGGAGUUGCAGAAAAGUAUCCAGAUUUUAAAGGUACUUUUUCCGACGUUUUUCAUUUCAGCACCAGCUGCUGGGUUUUUCCCUUAGGGAGAUGCAGAGCCAGCUUGAUUGGGAAGUGCUUAAGAUUUAGUACCCAUUCCAAAGAAUUCCAUCUGUGCCCUUGAAAUGAAUAUUAACAUAAAAUGAAAAAUUUGGUAAGUUACAUCAAGCUGAUUUUUCUGCCCUGGCCACAGUCUCUACUGUUAGUAAUAGCUAACUUUCUUUAUGCCAGGUAGUAUUCUUAGCACUUUAUACUCAUUUAAUCCUAACAGUAACUCUGUAAGGCAAUUUGUUGUUGUUACAGCCAAUUAAUAGAAGAGGAAACUGAGGCAUGGAGCUAGUAAGGAAAUAGUAAAGGUAUCUACUAAAUAGAAGUGUUGAAGAUUAAAUCAGGUAGUAGUGUAAAGUAUUUAUAAAAGUAUCUGGCAUAUGUUAAAUAAUAACUUGCUUCAAUUUAUAUAACAAACAGAGAGACUGGAAUUUGAAUCUGGGUGAUCCGGCUUCAGAGUCUGUGCAUUCUUUGGCCUCUCAAAGUUUGGAUCCAACACCCCUGGAAUUCUCUUAAGAAAAUACUAAGUGCUUAACUCCACCUGCAAAGCCAUCUCUAGAAGCAAGACUGAAGCAGCUGACUUUUCAACCCCAAAAUAAUACUUUUGAGUAUGUAUUAAUUGCAAAGGUUUAAAUAACAAGUUCAACAAAAAUUUAUCAGCCACCCACUAAGUGACAGAUGUCUCUACCCUUGAGAGGCUCUUAAGAGGCCUUCAUCUAAAGUAGCCCUUCUCAACCUGGGAUUUCAAGAGACAAUUAAUCCCUAAUGCCUUUAGGCACCCAUUGUAUAUAAUGUAUUAACUUCUUUCAUAUACAUCUAGAAUGGCACUGGUUCUACACCGUCCUGAAAAUAAUUUUUUUAUCUCCUGUGGUUCAUAUGGGGAAAUCCAUAUGCAAAGUAUUUCAAAACAUGACAAAUGUUGUAAUAGAAAUGAACAAGGAAUAAUGGGAGCAGAGUGAGCAUAGCUUAAAAGUAAUGGCUGUGAAGUCAGACUUGAGAUUGAGUAUAAGCCCAGCCACUUAUAGGGCUCAUAAAAUUGUUGUAAGGAUUAAAAUAGCAUAUGUAAGUUAUUUAGUAUAAUCCUGGUACAUAGUAGGUUUCAUAGUGGUAGGAAUAUUUAUUAAAUCUGUUUGUUAAGUCAUUAGAAUGCAAACUCGUUACUAUCUUGGUCCUCUAUAGCCCCAACAUCUAAAACCGUACCUUGCACAAAAACAAGUACUCAAUAAAUACUUUUUGAUGUAAUAAGGGAUGUCUACUAGGGAAGAUUUCGUAAUGUAGCAUGUAGGCUGAAGAAAAUGAUUGGGAUUUGCCAGUGAAUUACAGGAGGAGGCUAUUCCAGGCCAUGGAAGGCUGUGAGACAAUGAUAAAAAGAACAAGAGUUCACAAAAGAUUCCAAAAACUAAAUACCUACUUCAGCAUGACUGUGAACAUUAGCUGAAGUGGAUAAUGGCAGGAGAUAAGAAAAGUAGGCAGAGGCUAGAUCAUAAAGGGCCCUAUAUGACAUGCUAAAGAAGAGCUAGAAUUAUAUUCUGUAAGGCCUAGGUUUUGCUCAGCAGAGGUAUGGAAGGAAGAGUGUAGGAAGAGAAGAAAGAAAAGGAUUGAGUCUUAUGUCUAUAAUACCAAAAUCUUAACAAAGUGCAAAUCAAGAAAUGAGACAACAGGAUGUAGAAGUUUAAGCAUAUUAUUUCAGUGUGCAAAGGUAACCAGUACAGGAAAAAAUAUAUGUAACUAGAGCUAAGUGAUUGUCUGUCUUUGUAGGAAGUAAAUAGAUAUCUAUAAUUGAUACAUGAAGAAAUAAUAUUAGGAGGAGCAUAUCAUUUAAAGAUAUAGUAUUUAUAGUAUUUGGUAUAGUAAUUGCCAAAAAUACUAAAAACAAAUUAUAAGAAUAGUUGCCCCUGGAAAGCAGGCCUGGAGAUGUGAAAGGGUGAGUUUUUUUAUUAUAAGAUCUUUUUGAAUUUGUAAUAAACAUUUUUUAAAAUUUAAUGUGUCCUAGCUGGGCUUGGUGGCUCAUGCCUGUAAUCCCGGUGUUUUGGGAGGCUGAGGUGGUACGAUUGCUUGAGCCCAGGAGUUCAAGACCAGCCUGGAAAACAUGGUGAAGCCACGUCUCUACCAAAAAUACAAAAGUUAGCCAGGUGUAGUGGUGUGCACCUGUAGUCCCAGCUCCUUGGGAGGGUGAGGUGGGAGGAUGGUUUGAGCCUGGGAGGCGAAGGUUGCAGUGAGCCAAGAUCAUGCCAUUGCACUCCACCCUGGGCAACAUAGCCAGAGCCUGUCUCAAAAAAAAAACAAAAAACAAGAAAAUUUAAUGUGUCAGAAAAAAAAGCAUUUCUUUGUUAAUCAUUUACUGUGUAUUAGGCUAUGAGAUCCCAUUACCUCCUUAGUGAAGGAAUCUGACAUAUUUUUCUUGUUUGUAGUUUGCAUGUACAAAGUUUUUCCAAAUGUAAGCUGUCGUGGUGAUUUUUCUUCAGAGUCAACUUGACUAGCUUUAGCCUCAGGAAAAAGGCAGUUGGAAAAAAAAAAAAAAGGUUAGCUGUAAAACAGCCUUAAACAGGUCCUUUAGGAGUUAUUCCAGAAGAAGGCAUUGUUAUCAUAGAAGAAGAUAGUUUCAAGUGUGUUAUUACCCCUGAAAACAUUCCAGUAGAACAAAAUGUGAAUGUGGAAGAUGGUGAUAUUGAUGAUCCUAACCCUGUGUAGGCCUAGGCCAAUGUGUGUACAUCUUAGUUUUUAACAAAAAAG
rnacentral:lncRNA from 10 species